CUUUACUGUAUCCUGCAAUUGAAUUUCGAUUUUAUUUGCGCAGCAUAGGUGGGAGACUUUGAAGUUUUUCUUGUGGGGAAAAUGGAGUCAUCAGUGAGAUACCACUCUGAUAAAAUUGACAUUCUAACUUCAUACCGUAAGCCGGUUGAAAGACAGUUGCAGGUGGGCAGUUUGACUGGGGCGGUCGCCUCCCAAAAGGUAACGGAGGCGUACAAAGGUUUCCUCAGAUCGGUCAGAAAUCGAUCUUCGAGUGCAAAGGCAAAAGGAAGCUUAACUGUGAGACAAACAAGUCGAGCAGGGACGAAAGUCGGUCUUAGUGAUCUGACGCUGCUGUGUGGAAAGGGCGUCACUCAACGGAUAAAAGUUA
rnacentral:rRNA from 1 species